rnacentral:tRNA from 1 species
UGAGGUUUUAGAUUAAUAAAAUCAUUAGUUUUCAAAACUAAAAUUAAGAAAAAUUCUUAAAACUCA